rnacentral:rRNA from 1 species
AAGUCGGAAUCGCUGUAAUCGCGGAUCAGCAUGCCGCGGUGAAUACGUUCCCGGGCCUUGCACACACCGCCCGUCACACCAUGAGAGUCGGGAACACCCGAAGUCCGUAGCCUAACCGCAAGGAGGGCGCGGCCGAAGGUGGGUUCGAUAAUUGGGGUGAAGUCGUAACAAGGUACC